UAAUGGGAAAUUUUAAUCGACGGGACGCGCGAUGUUGUUACGAACGAAUAUGCAAAUUUGUAAGUUUUGACGUCGUGUCUGUAGUUUACCGUGGAAUAAUGCAAAUCGGUCGGUAGUCGUUCGAAAUCGACAGUGUAGCGACAAAAGCGUAUAUUGGAAUAAUUGCUAUCUUCGUUUGGAUAAUUACUUUUCGAAAUUGGAUAUUUAUUUGUUUCUUUGCUAAUUCUUUGAAAAUGAGUUUUGCCGAUUUCAGUUCUGAUGAUUUUUGGUCGAGUUGUACCACGCGUAAUUUCUAUACCACGUUUAUGGGGGUAUUUAAAGAAUAAGAAACACCUGCCAAAGCACUACACGAGCGAUCUCUCAGACUCCUACAUGUACUUAUUUAUGUAUAAGAAAUUCAUGAACUGGCCCGUUAAAAAACCCAGAGAGAGAUUCCAAAUUUUUGCACAACAUUUAGCUAUGAUCUAUCCUGGAACCGGAGAAAAACCGAAAUGGUUCGAACCGGAAACUGUUCCGUCGGCGCCGGCGACGAAUACGGGGAAGAAGAAAAGGCCCGCAACGAACGCCAACGAAUCUACAAUGUCGAAAAAUUCGGGAUCGAAAAGGAGAAAAAAGAACCAUUGACGCUCUUUUAGUCUUGUGGAAAGAGGACCCUUUUCCUCAUACCUAUCGUGAAUCAGUCAGGCUCAGAAUGGGACGAGCAGUUGGCGAGAAACAAGACCGACCGCCCAUGAAAAUUUCUUGGAUGGUCGUCCAGAUUCGAUCCAGGAACCCUAGAACAGUAGGCUGACGUCUUAGCCGCGUUUUGACUUGUAUGAUUUUAAUUCUUGUUCAAAGUUGCCAAUUCGAUUUUUAUAAAAGAAAAUCUAAAGACAU